rnacentral:rRNA from 1 species
GACGAACGCUGGCGGCGUGCUUAACACAUGCAAGUCGAACGGUGAUGCUCCAGCUUGCUGGAGUGGAUCAGUGGCGAACGGGUGAGUAACACGUGAGCAACCUGCCCCAGACUCUGGAAUAAGCGCUGGAAACGGCGUCUAAUACUGGAUACGAAACAGGCCCGCAUGGGCAUGGUUUGGAAAGUUUUUCGGUUUGGGAUGGGCUCGCGGCCUUUCAGCUUGUUGGUGAGGUAAUGGCUCACCAAGGCGACGACGGGUAGCCGGCCUGAGAGGGCGACCGGCCACACUGGGACUGAGACACGGCCCAGACUCCUACGGGAGGCAGCAGUGGGGAAUAUUGCACAAUGGGCGAAAGCCUGAUGCAGCGACGCCGCGUGAGGGAUGACGGCCUUCGGGUUGUAAACCUCUUUCAGCAGGGAAGAAGCGAAAGUGACGGUACCUGCAGAAGAAGCACCGGCUAACUACGUG